GGGGAAUUUUCCGCAAUGGGCGAAAGCCUGACGGAGCAACGCCGCGCGAGGGAUGAAGGCCUCUGGGCUGUAAACCUCUUUUCUCAAGGAAGAAGAUCUGACGGUGCUUGAGGAAUAAGCCACGGCNUAAUUCCGUGCCAGCAGCCGCGGNUAAUACGGGAGUGGCAAGCGUUAUCCGGAAUUAUUGGGCGUAAAGCGUCCGCAGGCGGUCCAGAAAGUCUGCUGUUAAAAAGUGGAGCUUAACUCCAUCAUGGCAGUGGAAACUUCUGGACUAAAGUGUGGUAGGGGCAGAGGGAAUCCCGGGUGUANCGGUGAAAUGCGUAAAUAUCGGGAAGAACACCANUGGCNAAGGCGCUCUGCUGGGCCAUAACUGACNCCCNUUGACCNAAAACCCCCGGGGGNACCNAANGGGGUUUUNA
rnacentral:rRNA from 1 species